rnacentral:rRNA from 1 species
CCUACGGGAGGCAGCAGGGGGGAAUAUUGCGCAAUGGGCGAAAGCCUGACGCAGCGACGCCGCGUGAGGGAUGAAGGUCUUCGGAUCGGAAACCUCUGUCAGCAGGGAAGAACGGUCACGGGGCUAAGCAGCAGUGAAUGGACGGUACCGGCAAAGGAAGCACCGGCUAACUCCGUGCCAGCAGCCGCGGGAAUACUGAGGGUGCGAGCGUUCAUCGGAAUUACUGGGCGUAACGCGCUCGUAGGCGAUAUGUCAAGGCAAGGGUGAAAUCCCCGCGCUCCACGUGGGAACUGCCUUUGAAUCUGGCAAACUGGCGUGUGUGCGCGGCUAGUGGACUUCCAGGUGUAGGCGUGACAUCC